rnacentral:rRNA from 1 species
UACGAAGGGGGCUAGCGUUGUUCGGAAUCACUGGGCGUAAAGGGCGCGUAGGCGGCUUUGUAAAUCGGGGAUGAAAGCCUGUGGCUCAACCACAGAAUUGCCUUCGAUACUGCAUGGCUUAAGACCGGAAGAGGUAAGUGGAACUGCGAGUGUAGAGGUGAAAUUCGUAGAUAUUCGCAAGAACACCAGUGGCGAAAACAACUUACUGGUCCGGUUCUGACGCUAAGGCGCGAAAGCGUGGGGAGCAAAC